AACCUAGCACACCUGCGGUGUGUACCUGCGGAAGGAUCAUUAAACAACUAGGCCGUAACAAGCCUUGAACCCUUCUCUACGCGCACCUUUACCUUCUCCUUCGGCGGGUCAGCGCCCGCCGUCGGAACCAACAAACCCCCUUUUGCAUCUAGCAUACCACCCGUUCCGAUACAAAACACAAUCGUUACAACUUUUAACAAUGGAUCU
rnacentral:misc_RNA from 1 species